rnacentral:rRNA from 1 species
GACGAACGCUGGCGGCGUGCUUAACACAUGCAAGUCGAACGGAAAGGCCCUGCUUGCAGGGUACUCGAGUGGCGAACGGGUGAGUAACACGUGGGUGAUCUGCCCUGCACUUCGGGAUAAGCUUGGGAAACUGGGUCUAAUACCGGAUAGGAACCAUCUUUAGUGUGGUGGUUGGAAAGUUUUUUCGGUGUAGGAUGAGCUCGCGGCCUAUCAGCUUGUUGGUGGGGUAAUGGCCUACCAAGGCGGCUACGGGUAGCCGGCCUGAGAGGGUGUACGGCCACAUUGGGACUGAGAUACGGCCCAGACUCCUACGGGAGGCAGCAGUGGGGAAUAUUGCACAAUGGGCGCAAGCCUGAUGCAGCGACGCCGCGUGGGGGAUGAAGGCCUUCGGGUUGUAAACUCCUUUCGCUAGGGACGAAGCUUUUUGUGACGGUACCUAGAUAAGAAGCACCGGCUAACUACGUG